rnacentral:lncRNA from 1 species
GGAACAGUAGCCCGGUUAAAAUAGUUUCUGUACUUCCAGAGGAAGCAAUUAAAUCUCAGCGUCUACCAUGGCAAAAGACCGAUUGUACUUGAGGAACAAAAUCGGGGAUGAUCAUCCUUUAGUGGCGGGAAGCUGGAAAAUGAGGGACUGUGGGCUGUGAGGAGAGAGAAAGAGGCUUGAGAAACCAGAAACCAUCAUUUGCAUCCAA